GAACUUAAGCAUAUCAAUAAGCGGAGGAAAAGAAACCAACAGGGAUUACCUCAGUAACGGCGAGUGAAGCGGUAACAGCUCAAAUUUGAAAGCUGCCAACAGGCCGCAUUGUAAUUUGUAGAAGAUGCUUUGGGUGUUGACCUAGUCUAAGUUCCUUGGAACAGGACGUCAUAGAGGGUGAGAAUCCCGUAUGUGAUUAGUGUUAGCCCCCGUGUAAAGCUCUUUCGACGAGUCGAGUUGUUUGGGAAUGCAGCUCAAAAUGGGUGGUAAAUUUCAUCUAAAGCUAAAUAUUGGCCAGAGACCGAUAGCGCACAAGUAGAGUGAUCGAAAGAUGAAAAGCACUUUGGAAAGAGAGUUAAACAGUACGUGAAAUUGUUGAAAGGGAAGCGCUUGCAAUCAGACUUGCAGGCAGUCGAUCAUCCGAGGUUCUCCCCGGUGCACUCGAUUGUCUUCAGGCCAGCAUCGGUUUCGGUGGUGGGAUAAAGGCUGUGGGAAUGUGGCUCUUCGGAGUGUUAUAGCCCACGGUGCAAUGCCGCCUACCGGGACCGAGGACCGCGCUUCGGCUAGGAUGCUGGCGUAAUGGUUGUAAGCGACCCGUCUUGAAACACGGACCAAGGAGUCUAACAUCUAUGCGAGUGUUUGGGUGUCAAACCCAUACGCGUAAUGAAAGUGAACGGAGGUGAGAACCCUUUAGGGUGCAUCAUCGACCGAUCCUGAUGUCUUCGGAUGGAUUUGAGUAAGAGCAUAGCUGUUGGGACCCGAAA
rnacentral:rRNA from 1 species